rnacentral:rRNA from 1 species
GGCUACGGCCAUACCACCCUGAACGCGCCCGAUCUCGUCUGAUCUCGGAAGCUAAGCAGGGUCGGGCCUGGUUAGUACUUGGAUGGGAGACCGCCUGGGAAUACUGGGUGCUGUAGGCU